UACGUAGGGGGCAAGCGUUGUCCGGAAUCAUUGGGCGUAAAGCGCGUGUAGGCGGCCUUGUAAGUCCGUUCUGAAAGCCCGGGGCUCAACCCCGGGAGGCGGAUGGAUACUGCAAGGCUCGAGUACGGAAGAGGCGAGUGGAAUUCCCGGUGUAGCGGUGAAAUGCGCAGAUAUCGGGAGGAACACCAAUGGCGAAGGCAACUUCCUGGGGCAAUACUGACACUGAUGUGCGAAAGCGUGGGGAGCAAACAGG
rnacentral:rRNA from 1 species